rnacentral:sRNA from 1 species
UUUUUUUUUAGUUUUU